GGUGGUUUAGUGGUUAGAACGUCCGCCUCGGAUGUGGGAGAUCGUAGGUUCGAUUCCCUCUUUAGUCA